rnacentral:rRNA from 1 species
ACGAACGCUGGCGGCGUGCCUAAUACAUGCAAGUCGAGCGCUUCUUUCCUCCCGAGUGCUUGCACUCAAUUGGAAAGAGGAGUGGCGGACGGGUGAGUAACACGUGGGUAACCUACCCAUCAGAGGGGGAUAACACUUGGAAACAGGUGCUAAUACCGCAUAACAGUUUAUGCCGCAUGGCAUAAGAGUGAAAGGCGCUUUCGGGUGUCGCUGAUGGAUGGACCCGCGGUGCAUUAGCUAGUUGGUGAGGUAACGGCUCACCAAGGCCACGAUGCAUAGCCGACCUGAGAGGGUGAUCGGCCACACUGGGACUGAGACACGGCCCAGACUCCUACGGGAGGCAGCAGUAGGGAAUCUUCGGCAAUGGACGAAAGUCUGACCGAGCAACGCCGCGUGAGUGAAGAAGGUUUUCGGAUCGUAAAACUCUGUUGUUAGAGAAGAACAAGGACGUUAGUAACUGAACGUCCCCUGACGGUAUCUAACCAGAAAGCCACGGCUAACUACGUG